ensembl:lncRNA
CUUGCUUAUUAGUGGGAAGUGUUUGUAGCUCGUAGAAGUUGAGGGGUUAGGAACGCCUGUGGGGGCUGCCUGGGUGGGGUGGGAAAAGUAAGAACGAGCCAGGAGAGUGGGGAGACCUCCCAGGGGAGUGCCCAAGUAGGAAUUGGACUGACUAGAGUUUCUCUAACAGAAUCAUAACUACAUAGCUCCUGGAAGCUCCCUGCUGGCCUAGGUUUGGGAUACCACACCUGCAGUCUUGCCUCACCUGAGAGGGCGAGUAGCUUGUAGAGCUCACACCACAGCUGUGAUGACUGCUACACCCACAGCGUCAUGGUGUUGAGCCUGGCCUGUCUGGAAAGGCCCAGUAUUAAACCAGACUCAGACUGAAUGCUCUAGAAGAAGUGAAGCCUAAGUGCAUGCAAGAGGAACUGGAGGGAAUUGGCAGGCAAAUGAUCACAUGGUGUGGUGGUCUGAGAAGCAGGAAAACCAGAGGCCUAGAGGUGGCUCAACCUGCUGACCUGGGGAAAGUGAGUGGAAAGUGCUGACCCUACUUGAAAAUCAGGCAAGGCUAUUUUUUGUGGAGUUGGCUCAGCUGAGCCAGCUCUGGGCCGAACUUGAUGAGGGCUUAAAUAGAAACUCCUAAGGUGUCGACUUCAUGUGCCGCUUCUAGGUGCUUCAGGAGCUGUUGCUUUUGUUUGGCUUGGAGGUGUGGGAUGGGCUGGCAGGAGCUGAUCUACUGUAGUGUCAGUGACUUCUAGCUGGAGCCUCAACCUCGGAUCCUCUGUGUGGGGAAAUGCCUUUGUGGUGAUGUGGUAUGACAGAAUAUGGGCUUGAGCUCAUCUGAGUUCGGUCCCUAGCUCUGUCACUUACUAGCUCUGAGAACUUGGACAAGUUGUUGCAAAAGUGGCUUAAACUGGGGUUUUGUGACUAGAUAAGACUAGUUAUAGACCAGUGCCCAUCACAGCAGGUGCUCAGUAAGAGUUGCUGGCUGGUAGAGUACCCCGCCCUCUCCCAACAGCUCACGUGGUUCUGUCAUGGGCGUCUUACUUAGUACCUAUGCUCCUCAGCGUGGAACUUCUGUUCAGCCGUAAGCAUCACUUGAACUUAAGUGCCUCGUAACCUCCCUGUAGCCUGGCAGGCUCGCUAAAUCUAGUUUGGUACCUCACUGUUGAACUUUCUCUCGCUCAGUCAGACCCUGCAGCUGGGAUUGUAUGCACCUGUUGUCCUGAGCAACUGCUUCAAAUGACGGUACCUUAAGGCAUGGAUGAAAGCUGCUUUGUUAAUUCCUCAAGGUCUAAAGCAUGGUUCACAAUGGAUUUCACAAGAUCAGAGACUUGUAUGGCCUUAGCUCAAAUGCUGUGGUGGAUCCUGGAGGUGCUGCAGUUGGAGGCUGUUGGCCGCUGCACCCUUUUCAGCUCAACAGCAAGUUCUUUCCUGGAGAUCUGGCAGCCUACCUCUGCACCGAAAUACCAGUCUAGUCAUGAGGUCCAGAGGAACAGGAUCUUGUGCUCUUGCAGGAGAAUUGGAAGGCCCCAGAGGACACUACCACCUCAGUUGAUGGGUUCUCUUCUAAGAAGAAAUCCAUUCUAACAUCCUCCCUGCACUUUCUGAUCACUUUCUCAACACUCUCCUGAACCAGUUCAAGAAUCUCCACCUCAUUUACUACAGAUCAUCAUUUCCCAGCUUCAGAAGAGCCAUCCCAGCAGUAUGUGAUCAGGACCAUCUCCAGAUGGCUUAGCCAGGACAUCAGAUCCUGGUUGUGGGGAAGUGCUCUCAUGUCAAACUCUCCCCUGCCCAAAUUUCUUCUCAACCCAUGGUCCCAACAUCCUCAGAAUAAAACUUCCACGCAUGUUCUCACAGGCUCUGAAUCUAGCAAAGGAGACUCGUCAAGUCCUCACAUUCUCAAUGUCCUUUGCAUCUCUGCCACCUUCAGUCAAAUCCUCAGCCUGAUUUUACAGUGUAGUCUAUCAUCCAGCUACAGGGUAUGAAGAUCUCCUUAAAACAAGUCACUGAAGUUUUCUGGCUUUCACAUCAUGCCCUGGGUUAGUAAGUGGUUGAUUUGAGCUUUUCAUUCUUGAAGGUUUCCAAAUCAGUUUUUCAAAAAGCAAAGCUCUUCUAUAAUCCUUAUGGCUUCCAGUACCUGAUGCUGUUCAGGUUCUAGAGAACUCCAUUACCCAGUGCUUUCCUUCCACCUCUACCUCAACCCAGGAAAGGUGAGCUGAAAUGGUGAUGCUGCUGAGGCUUGCUUCUGAUGGGAUCUCCAAGAAACAAAGGGAUGUCUUCCAAAAUCAGCUGCAUGAAGAAUGGACGUCUGGAGAAUUUAUCCGUGAGUCCCAUUCACCAUGGUGGAGAUAGGCCCUGGAAGUAUUAACAUCCCCUCACUUCCAGCCUGUGCACUGAGCCGACCUCAGUGGCUUCAAAGAGGACCCUGGGGCAGAAAGUACAAACACACAGCUCACUGGAGGCCAGACACUCUCAAUGUGAGUUCAAACUCAUUUACAACUGUCUAAAGCACCUAC